UUCAACAGCAAGAGUCUCAACAACCAUCGUCCCUGUCAGGGUACCAGCAGCAAUACCAACCCCGACCACCUCCACCCCCAAGCUCUGGUCCAUCUUUGGAGGAGAUGAUAAAACAAGUGAUGACAAACAUGGCGCAAAAUCAGCAAAGGACGGAGGCAAUUCUUAUGCAAAAUCAACAAAGGACGGACUCCGAAAUGCAGGAUAUAAGGAAUCAGAUAAGUCAAAUGGCUACAACAAUCAAUCGUUUGGAUUCUCAGAACCAAGGUGAAUUGCCAUCUCAACCUGAGUUGAACCCGAAGAAUGUCAGCGCCAUGACCUUGAGGAGUGGCAAAGAG
rnacentral:lncRNA from 1 species